UCAUCACUAGCUUAGUGGUAGAGCGGCCGGCUGUUAGCUGACUGGUCAUAGGUUCGAAUCCUACUUGGGGGG
rnacentral:tRNA from 1 species